UACGUAGGGUGCGAGCGUGUCCGGAAUUAUUGGGCGUAAAGAGCUCGUAGGCGGUCUGUCGCGUCUGCUGUGAAAUUCCGAGGCUCAACCUCGGGCCUGCAGUGGGUACGGGCAGACUAGAGUGCGGUAGGGGAGAUUGGAAUUCCUGGUGUAGCGGUGGAAUGCGCAGAUAAUCAGGAGGAACACCGAUGGCGAAGGCAGAUCUCUGGGCCGUAACUGACGCUGAGGAGCGAAAGCGUGGGGAGCGAACAGG
rnacentral:rRNA from 1 species